UACGAAGGGGGCUAGCGUUGUUCGGAAUUACUGGGCGUAAAGCGUGCGCAGGCGGCUUUGUAAGCCGGCUGUGAAAUCCCCGGGCUUAACCUGGGAAUGGCAUUCGGGACUGCAAGGCUGGAGUGCGGCAGAGGAGACUGGAAUUCCUGGUGUAGCAGUGAAAUGCGUAGAUAUCCGGAGGAGCACCGAUGGCGAAGGCAGGUCUCUGGGCUGACACUGACGCUCAUGCACGAAAGCGUGGGGAGCAAACAGG
rnacentral:rRNA from 1 species